rnacentral:rRNA from 1 species
GACGAACGCUGGCGGCGUGCUUAACACAUGCAAGUCGAACGAAGUGGCGAACGGGUGAGUAACGCGUAAUCAACCUGCCCUUCAGAGGGGGACAACAGUUGGAAACGACUGCUAAUACCGCAUAAUGAAGGAGGGGAUUGCGUCUGCAUAGCUAGUUGGAGGGGUAAAGGCCCACCAAGGCGAUGAUCAGUAGCCGGGCUGAGAGGAUGAACGGCCACAUUGGGACUGAGACACGGCCCAGACUCCUUCGGGAGGCAGCAGUGGGGAAUCUUCCGCAAUGGACGCAAGUCUGACGGAGCAACGCCGCGUGAGUGAAGAAGGUUUUCGGAUCGUAAAGCUCUGUUGUUAAGGAAGCGGUACUUAACCAGAAAGGGACGGCUAACUACGUGCCAGCAGCCGCGGUAAUAC